CGGCAAACUCUGGAAUUCUCAAAGUCCUCAUCGUCCCAUAGAUCUGGGGCUUGGCUUGGAGCCCUGUUCCCUGAAAUACCACAGAACUGGCUUCUGAGGAGAGGCGACGUGAGCUGCUGAGCUCCAGGUUGCUGCUGUUUCCCUCCCUCAGGAUGACGUGUUCCUGCAUGUGUUGGAUGGCACCUGGCUCACAUCGUGCCGUGGUGUGGCACUCUGGGACACCUAGGAAGGUUUGCUGCGUGAUGGAGUCCAUGCUGUCUCCAUCCUCCCUUCAGUCUCCAAAUGCCUGGCUUACCAAGGAGGCCUCUUGUCUCAUGUUCAUGGAAGAGAACAGGAAGGUGACUGUGGCUGUGCUGCAUGUUGGAAAGUGAGGACAUGCUCAGGAAGCAUGGAACAAUGUCUAGCCAGAGAACUUAGUCUGAUGAAGCAAGUUUUCAUCUAAGCCUGCUUGUCUGGUGACAAGUCCCAUUUCAGCACAGGCAGCGUACUUACAGAUGAGCUUAUUAUGAGAAGAAGCCGCAUACAGACAGGAUUCUGCUACCUGUGGCAGAAAAAAGGUUUGAUCUGCGCAGGACCUCUCCAGACCCCUUCACCCUCACUUGGGAGGAAAAAUCGAACAGCAAGAAGGACAUGCUCAGAGGAGUUGGAUUACAGCUUACACGUGUAUUCGAACCCAGAGUUACACAACUGCAUGAAGAGCUGUGUGCAGAAAUGCUUUCUGAUUUCUGCUUACAACAGCCUAGGUACAAAAUCCCUGUUAUUUGUAAAGGAAACAGAAACGUUUGCUAGGUAGAGAAUUGCUGAAAAUGCUACACCUGCAAGAAGGUAGAAGAGUCCUUGAGAAUUCAGUGCUGGUUAGCACUGAUGAAACACAGGAUAGAUGGUGAAAUAUAUCCUUCAAAAACUGACACUUGUAUGUUUUGGCACUUGGAGCUUGCGCUGGUUGCUCACCCAUCGGUUGUAUUCUGACACGUAGUUCCUAGAGCUUUACUGCCUUGCACGCUUUGGCAGUUUCACUGAUCACCAGCAUUUUACUUUCCUUAUCAUUCUACCUUUAUUAGAUAAUUUUCUUCUCAAACGUCUUGAUCUCUGAGUAACAGCUCUGCUUCUGGCAGAGUCGUGCUGUUUCCAAAAGAAACAUCAAAGUGGUGUUUUCACGUAUGAGUGAAAGUGCGUUGCAGGGAAAGGCACUGUCUUAUAACCAAGUUUGUUUUUUAAGCUCAAAAUAAGCAGGAUUUGAAUGUUAUUAAAUAACAUUUUUUUUUUGUGAGAAGGAACUGGAUUUAGAAAAAUGAACCGACUCUUCAGCCAGACCCGUCAUGAAUUGCAAAAGCAGCUGGGAGAUUUGGCCUGAGAAUCAGGUUGCUUUUUCUUUUUUCUUCGUCAGAGUUUGUAAGAGAUUUGGAGGGACAUAACAUUUAUUUCCUACUUCCCUGAGCUUCAGUCCAGGCCUUGGAAAAACCCAUCUGACAGUGAGUUUGUUUGUAUAUUUCAAAUUUUUUCCUAAGUAUGCUGGGCUCAUUAGCAAGCCUUGGAAAAUGCACGCUUUGUUGAAGUUAAUAUGGGAAAUAAGAUACUGAGGGCUCAAAUCUGUCUCCAGAAUAUAAAUAAGCAUACCUUCCUUUGGACCAGGUUUUGACCAGAGUCAUACUGGAACCCUUGUUUCUGGGAGAGUUACGAAUGUGCUUUGCUAGGAAAUGCUGUUCCUUAAAGAGCUCGUGAAGCCUACAAGGUCUACAUGCAGAAUGACUGCAGUGCAUGGCACCAUGUGGCCUGAGCAGGACCUCACUUGUGUUGGCAAGAGAUGCUGCUGGCACGUUCUUUGCCAUGGAAGCUACUGGAACACUUGUCUGCAACACGUCAUGAGGACAUGGCAGUGACAGCUCAACACUGAUCAGGCUUCUUCAACCAAUAUGCAAACCAUUUAAAUAGUAGAGGAGCCCAAUCAAAAGGUGUUGCUCAAAAUUGUGCUUCAAAGGCUUAACCAAAAAAAUAAUCCAUGACAUUGCAUGAAGCAGUCAUAUUUACCUGUGCAUCUCCAUUUCUAUGAUAAUUUUGUAAUUCAAAGAUUGGAUUUGAGACUUUCAUAUGUGUUGAAUGUCUGUGUAAGCUCUGCUUACCCAGUUGGCACAAGGUGGUUGUUUCCUUGUGGAUCAGAAUUUAUACUUCUCAUUAAGCCAAAGUCAUUUCUAUUCACCAUUGUCACACUAAGUUGUGUCCUUUGGCAAUCCCCUAAUUCCAAAAGCCCAGUUGUUAAGUAAGCUUUGAUUAAAGGGGUCUCUUUUCAAGCCAAGUUUAUGGUAAUGUUAGAGAACACUAAGAGAGCAGAGCUGCACAGUACUGAAGGAUGUGGGGUGUCUCAAAUUGCCACUAGAGAAAAACACAUUCUUGAGGCAGGGUGUAGAGCUUUUCAUUUGAAACAUGCUCUGGUGCUCAAGGCCCCUCAAUCAAUGAUGUACUUGGCUCUUCAGCUACUAACUGGAGGAGUACGUGCAUGACUCUGAGCGUGGCACCAGGAGACACCUUCCUGCUCUGAUUGCUGAAGUAUUUCAGGCUGCAGUAUUAUGUGGCAAACUGCAAAAUCCUUUUCACUGUCCACUGAUCCGGCUGCAAGUAUUCUUUAUUAUAUUUUGCCUGUGAUAGAAGACACAUUUUCAUAUUUCCAGAAUGAUUAUUUUUGUAGGGUUCAACAGCUUUCCCCACUGCUCUUUAUCCAGAAUCACACUUUGCAGCAUCAUUUAGUUGUGGUGAAGAUAACAACAUUAUAUGCUGUGAAUGGACAGCUAGAUGAAUGCUACCCCACUUAGGUAAACUGCUUCUGUGCAUGCGCAAUUGUAAAUGGUAGAAAAGAAUGCCUUUCUGUAUUUUUUAUAACUCUACUUUUUGCAGCAACACUGCAUUUAGCUCACCACAACUAAAUGCACAGUUAGUAGAAGGAAUGUUCUGCCUAAGUAUCUGUUCGAACGUUUUGGGAACCCUCGGUGUAUUUGAUUAAACCUUUCUGUAGCCAGCAAAGCUCCUUGUGAAUGCAUAUACAGCAAAGCAUUUGGACUCGUAUGCAGUGCUGCAGCUUAACUUGGUUAAUCCUAAGCCAACACUUCAGUAAUAAGCAAAUUUCUGAGUUAACUGUCAGUUUAGUCUUUAGCUAUCUAUUGAUGGUGUAUACCAGAGAUCAGUGCUUCCCUGAGGCACUGGUGUUUUGAUUUUCAUCUACCUGUAUGAGAUGAUGAAGUGUCACUCUUUGCAUUUCUUUUUUCUUAAUUGGGGAAUUUGCACUCAGGAAAAUUACACAACUCUCCAAAAAGGAGCAGGUGUUCAUAGCUGUUGGAAGAGGUCUAUGUCCUCCACCACAGACCUGGCUUCUUCCUCAACUCAUUUGCUCCAGGAGGGUUUUAAAACUAUUUUUUGUAAGAGGAAAUAUACUGUCUUGUACUGAAAAUAGGCAGAACUAAUUUAUUCUAACUUGGUAUUUGUAGCUUGGAACUGUAGUCGGAGAGUCAGGUAACGUGGAGGGGUGGACUGGGACCUCUCCUUUAUGAUUAAUUAUUGCUGUUCCUUCAACAAAAGUCAUGAAAAAGUCCCUCCCAUAAUUACCUUAUAACGAAUGUCUCAUUCCUUUGCAGAAACCGGUAAGCAGUAAUUAUUUCUUAAAUUGUCUGAUUGCUUCUCUGACCCCUAGAAAUGGAUGCAGUAUCAUCAGGAUCACUAGCAGACAUGGAAGGCAGCGCUGUUUGCACAGGAGUGGAACAUUCCUGGUACUGGGGCCAUGGCCACGCUCUGCAGCAGAGAGAGGACACUGCAGGGUGACUCUACAGACAGGAAUAGGAGAGACAAUGGUCAUGGUGUGACACCCUGUGUAGUAUGUGGUGCUGGGCACAUAAAGCUGAGGCACAUGAGAAAUCAUAUUGCAGGCACUGCCUUGAGCAACAGAGGUGAUGCUGAAUGUGCCAAAGAGAGCAGAUGUGCACAGACCUAUGGAGACGUGCAUAGGAUACCUAUGCAGGGUAUCCUGCUACAUGUAGAGGCACUGAAACUUCAUAGAAUUAUAGAAUGGCUUGGAUUGGAAAGGACCUUAAAGCCCACACAGUCCCAUCCCUGGCUAUGGGCAGGUUCCUCCCCAACAGCUCAGGCUGCCUGGGGCUCCAUCCAACCUGGCCCCUGUUGAUGCACCCCGGGACACAGUUGGCCUUCUGGGCUGCAACUGCACACUGCUGGCUCAUGUCAAGCUUUUGGUCCGCCAGGACCCCCAUGUCCUCGUCCACAGGGCUGCUCUCAAGGAGUUCUUCUCUCAGUCUGUACACAUAUCUGGGAUUGCACUGACCCAAGCGCGACAGCAUGCACUUGGCCUUGUUGAACCUUGUAGGUUCACACGGGCUCACUUCUCAGGCAUUUCCAGGUUCCUCUGGAUGACAUCCCUUCCUCUGUUGCACCACUGAAACACUCAGCUUGGUGUUGUCUGCACAUAGCGCGGGCUGCAGCCUGAACAAGAUCAGCUCAGGUGAGUGUUUCAGCGCACAGCCAAUCCCACUGUGUCAGGUCCACUUGGGGGAACAGCACUGACGUUCCCCUUCAUUCCUUGUGUCAUCGGGGUCUUCCAAAGGCUUCUCCCAGGAAAGCCUUUAAGUGAAUUUUCUGCUGCUGCUCAUUAAUGUUGUGUUAGUUUUAAUUUCUUCCUUGUCUUGUAUCACUAAUCAAGAAGUAAUUGAAUUAGCUGAAAAGAAGGAUAAGAUAAAUUAGCUAAGAAGAAUUAACUGUGUGCACCUGAGGUCAGCAGGCUCCUAGAAAAUUCAAGGUGAGAAUUAGUUGGACUAUGACUGAGCUUUAGCAAGGAAGUUACAAAGUUCUUUGGAGAAUCAAGAUGCAGAAAUACAAUUGACAAUCUAACCAUGAAAACCUAGAUAUAUCUGAAAGUGUUUGUGCAAUUCCUUUCUAUUUCAAGACAGGAGAGCAAAGGACUGCACUUACAUUCUUUCCAAUUGCUUUGUUUAAUGAAGGGAAUUUCCCUGAAGUUUGACUUUUCAUCCUUGUGUGAAUUGGCUUUGCCAGGAAGAUAUUUUUCCUUCUGCAUUGAUAUUAAGGCAGUAAAUUGUCUGUCCCUGUGUUCACUUGCUUGACUUUUUAAUUUUUUUUUCAUGGUUGCUCUGUAAUUUAAGUUCAUCUUUCAUGAAAACCAUAUGUUGGAUUAAAGGCAGGGUAUUAUUUUCAUGCAUUGUAAUAUACUCUGUUACCUCCUCCAUUACAGUGCCAUGUUAAAGUAAUUAUUAUUCCACGUGUCACUGUGAAUGCGUUUAAGAUUCUUUAGGUCUUCUCUAGCAGGAGUUGAUUUCCACUGCUGAUUAACUGGUCUCAUUCUUUUUAUAUGUCGGAAUUAGCCAAGCAUAAGCUUAUAAUUAUUUUAUAGGAAGACUUCUAGAAAUAUGAAAAAAAUCAUGCUAAAAUAAUUAGAAAACGAAUUAGAUUACAAUUCAUGAAAACCAUAAGCUAAUGACAGUAAUUAAUUUUAUACUUGACAAAGCCUAAAUAAACAUAACUAAGUAAUGAUAUAAAGAAAGGAAGUUUCAGUCUUGAACAGAAAUGCCUUAAAGCAGCUAAAAGAAGCAGCUCAUACAGCUGCAUUUGUUUGAUCAUUAUAUUUGCUCUUUUGGAGAAAGAUUGAAACCAGUUCACUUCUAUGAGCAUAUGAAUUUAUUUUUUUGCAGCGGGGCUGAACUGACUGUACUAACGGCAUAGAAGGAGGCCCCGUUCGAUAACCUUAUCGCUGAUGCUCUCUUUUCACCAAACCUCAGCUGUAGCCGUAUUAAGUAAAACCACAGAAAAUGGUAUGGUAACCUCACCAUCUGCUGUGCAGCUUAGUUUGCGUUCUGCAGUUGGGGCUGAAAAUACGUUACUUGAAAUUGUGAGUUAAGUCGCUGAAAUGAGAUGGGACCCCUGCGGCCUAAUCCAUAGGAACCAGCCCAUUCUUUUGAGUUUCCCGUGUUUGAUUAGUUGUACUGUAAUUAAAGAAAUUACCAAUAGACCUCUGUCUGGAUGUGAUUAACUCACCAAGUGCUCAUACCUAUAUUCUUUAAGCAUCUCCAAAUAAUUUAGGGCCUCAUUUAUGUUCCUUAAUAAAGAAAUAAAUGAAAAUCGUCUACAGCCUUAAUACCGUGGCUUGUGUUACAAGCUGUUCUAUCUUGUGCCUCGGUGAUGCCUGUCCAAUUGUUUCUGAUUAUGCUGCAUUGUAAUUAAAGAACUAGAAUGCUAUUUGCCUAAAUGAGAACAUGCUGCCCAGGAGGGAGGAAAAGAAAUCAGAUAAAGACGAGAGCCUUCUAAGCAAACCAAACUGAGGAUGUCGAUGCUGCACGUAGACAUGGAGCUGUGGAUGGGACUGCUUGAGCUGCUUGGUGCCUGCUGAGUGCCAGCUUCCACCACAGCCUGCUCCCCGCCAGGGUAACCCAACAGCAGUGGCACAACACGUUGUGUGAAAAGUAAUCUGAUUUUCUCCAGGACGGGGCAGAGCAGGGCUCAUGGAAGGGGGGAAAUGAAGAAGGGCUGAUGGGAUAUUUUUGUUUUGUCUGUCAGAUGUGUUCUGAGGAUAUUCCCAUGUGUGUCCACAGCAACUGAAUGUCUGUGAAAGGCUGCACGCUGAGCUGCCCUGCAUAUUGUUAAGGAGAUGUGGUUCCACGCUGAUCCCAACACUCCUACAGUCUAUCACGUAGCUGCUUCUACCCACAGAAUGAGGAGAACAGGGAGUUAACCUUCUGUAAUGUGGACAUUAAUACACAUCAUAGAAUCAUAGAAUGGCCUGAGCUGAAAAGGACCACAGUGCUCAUCUUGUUCCAACCCCCUGCUAUGUGCAGGGUCGCCAACCACCACACCAGGCUGCCCAGAGCCACAUCCAGCCUGGCCUUGAAUGCCUCCAGGGAUGGGGCAUCCACAACCUACUUGGGCAAGCUGUUCCAGUGCCUCACCACCCUCUGGGUGAAAAUGACUUAAAAUAAGCAGUGUCGUGUGACAGGUGUCAUGAGGAGAGAUGACAUGGCACAUUUAAUAGGUUUCUGAGGUGUUGCACUACUUCGGAUGAAACCCCAAAGUGCUUGUUACCAGUUCUAGAGAUGGUACCAGAAAUACAUGAGCACUUAUAGGUGCGGAUUAUGUGUAUUGUUAGCUACUAAAAUAGCUAUUGAAAUAGUUGCUGAGGUAUUUGGUGGGGCUUCUACUUGCCAGAGCAUUUGUAUUUGAUCUCACAGUUAUAUGCAUUACACUUCUAUAAUACAUGAACAGAGCUUUUCAAUGCACGGACCCUAUUCUAUCCCACCAAAAACUAAUUGGUAAGAAAAUCACCCCUCUGUGGAGAGCAGCAGCAUUUUCUUGAGACUUAAUAGAUCACACUGUCCACAUCUCCUUUGCUCCUCCAUGACCAUUUGCUGCUAUGCACUUCAGUUGCUUGCACCAGAACUUGUGUUAUUUUUGCAUAUGAUGUAUAUAGUAAAGGGCUUUUACAAUAAAUAGAAUGUAUGGCUUCAUUUGCUGCAGCAUGCAAAUGAGAGCUCUGUGCCGUGUCGUACAGAACAGCUGCUUACUCAGCAUCUGGCGUUGGCUGCUGAUUGUCCUUCAGCUGUAGAAAUAAGAGAUUAGCAAAUAAGUGUGGGAAGUAUGACCACCUUGUGCAAGGCACCACCUUCUUUAUCUCCCUGUGGCGUUACGGUCACUGAAGGUUUGAUAGAUACAUGUCAUUGGACGGGGAACGAAGCCUAAGGCCCAGCAGGGUUGGUGGCCUGUCCUGCUCACACCAAAUGGGGGGCAAAGCUGGAAGCUCAAGAACCCUUGUCUGCAAAGUGGACUUCCAUCAUCUUGUUUUCUCUAAUUCGUCCGUUUUGGUUGCAAAUUCUCAGGAGGCAGAAGCUGUCUCAUCCCAUGCAUUACUCAGUGCUCAGAACAGCAUGUCUUCAUCAUGGCUGGUAUUUCUAAGAAUUAUAGCCUUUCCAAACAAAGGCGCAUCAUGGAGAAAUAAUAACGCUCAUCCUUAGUGAGUGUCCUAUCCAACAUCGCAGGGAUUAAGUACAAAUAGAGAAUAAAACUACUUUUCUGGUUCUAAAAAUAAUUCUUCUGGGUCAUGUGGAAAAUCAUUGUGGAGGUUAUUUGUGGGAGUUCAAAUGUUCAGUUGUUCUACUUUCCUUUUUCUAGGAAUUACUGCAUGGCAGCGUGUCAGCCUCCAAAAUCCUCAAAAAGCCCAUGAAAAGAACUGCUGUAUUUCCUUUGGAAAAACAGGAUGGCAGCCACGGAAUGCCUUUAAUUUAAAGGAAAUAGUUGCAUCAUCUAUGGGAACAUCCCAGUAACAAGAAAGAGACCCGUGGGGAGGGUAAACUUAGGAAGAAAGCAAGUGGUGGGCAAUCAUACAGACACCUUCAUCUUCUCCAGUUCCAUCCUCUCUGCUGCCACCGGCAGACAUGAACAGAAACAGGAGAUCAGUUGUCCUGUGGCUGGACAUUGCAUUGUUUGCCAUGUGUACGCACUGAAGAGAAAACUCUCCCAUGGCGUAAACAUCUUCACGUCCCAUAACGAAAGAAAUCAGCCCACCUGUCAGUGCUCAUCUUGCUUCAAGAACCGGCUUUCUAUGUUAUGUUGUCCUGCCAUGUGGUAGGCAAAGGUGAGGAAGGGUUGCACCGCAACGCCGCUCAUUCACAGAGGAAUCCGUUCUGCAAAAAUUGGAGAGAUUCUAAAAUCUAUUUCUUAAUAUCUAUAAGCUUCAGGAGCACAACAUUAACAUUUCUCCUCCUCCUCCACUGUGGCACAGGCUGAGAGGAUGCUGAAGUACAGGUGCCUGUCACCUGCCUGAGGGCGGCACACAGCCAGUAGCCGAAGCACAGCAAUCUCAGCAGCUGUAAACCGAUCUCUUCAGCCCAAGUUCAUUUACUUGGCUCCAAUGUGUAGACUGCCUUCAUACACGUUUAGCAGUGAGAUUUGCAAAACUGAGAACUGUGCUAUAAAAUACAGCUUUCUAGCGUGGUAUCAAAACCCGAUGAUGAAUUUGACACGCUGGGAGGCAGAGGUUUGGGCCGGAGGAAAGAUGACUUAGAACUAAGGAAAGCGAAAUGCUGAAGGGAACUUGGCAUAGUAAAACUGCUGUAGGCAGGGGAAAAUUAUGACUUUACUGAAGAAGAGAAAAAAAAGUUUUACUACUGGCUUCUGACCUUAUUGGCUUCUCAAAUGUAUACAGGGAAUGGAGAAUAAUUACCAAACAAUUUGUAGUGAGAAUUGGCUGCUCCCUGUCGUGCUAGAUGCACGUGCUGCCUUUGCUGCAGCAUCCUCCGCCAGCGCUUCCCUCUCCUUGCGCUGCCGCUCACCAUGCAGAGCCCCAGCUGGCGGCUGCCAGCAGCUCUGGAAAUGCAGGGCCUUGGGCUGCAGGCUGGAAAUUCUUGUUUCCAGGAGCAGCUUAAGGCCUGUGGAAAACUCCCACUGACUUUGCUGGGAUUAUCCAUCUGCGGAAAGUUAUUUGGAGGGAAGUGCAUUCCUUUGUAGAAUGGCUGGCAACAGGUCCGGGCAGUGCUUCGGUCUCAGUUCUGGUGUAUUGUUUUUGUUGGGCUGCAUUCAUUCUGUGCCUUGCACAAUGGGGCUGUGCUCCAUCACUAGAGCUCGCACUUUCCAUUUUAGUCUAAUAAAAGUAGGAUUAAAAAAAGAAAGCCCAACUUGAAUGCAUAAAUGUUUUCAGAUAGCGGACCCCUCGGGCUCUGCCAUGUUUGUCUUUGAGCACUCUCAUAGAGUUUAGAGCACAGCUCUGCCUGAGGAGCGUAGAUUCAGAGUGACCCAUCUGUUGUCAGGGCUUCUGGGGACUCAGGUGAGGAAAAUUGCAGUGUAAAUAGGAAAUGAGACCAGGGACAAUGUUCUGCCUGUGUUUUCUGAGCGUUACUGUUCCUUACACUCUUUUCAUAUUUUUACAUUUCUCUUUAUAGUGGUUUUAUGAUCUCAUUCCUCCAUGUAAUUUCAAAAGUACUCCAAUAUCUAAUUGGAAGGUUGAGGAGAAAAGUCCCCAGGCUAGCUUGUUUAAGAAGAAUGUUAUCUGCUGUCUGCUCAACUUACCUUCUGUGAAGCUCCAAGGCAAAGAAUCCUAUGCUGCAUUUAAACUUAAGAGUUUGCUAGUAAAAAUACCCUUCUUCCUGAGGUUAUUUAAAAUGAGAGCCUGCAUUUCUCACAUCCCACUGUUGUCUGAAAUACAAAAUCCCAUCCUAUAUUGCUAUGCCAGAAAAUGUUAGCGGAUAAAGUGCCGAGCAGGUCACAGUAUUUCUAAUUCAGAUUAAUGACCCCAUUCAGCUUGUCUCCUUAGCAGGAAAUUAGAAAGUGCUGGGAAGGAGAAAAUAGUGAUUCAUAAUGCGUGACUCUUUGUAUUGGCAGUUGCACUCAUUAAACACUAAGAUACUGUUUUGAUAUAAAAUAAUUGAGUCUGACUUAUUUAUGGGAUAUGGCUGUCUCAGAUUGCAGAGAUUCCCUGGAAGGACUGCUGGCUCUGUGCCUCAGUGGAGGAAAAAGAGGUGACUGAUGCCCAUUGGCAACCCCUGGCCAGGUGAAGCACAAAAGAAGUGCACAGAAAAUGACCACUGCUGCUCUGCUUAGAGAGGGGAAAACACCUUCUUCAGGAAGGUUUGGAGCAGACAGGGACAAAGUGAUGGUAAACCUCCUGGGAAAGCAGCUUGCACUGACUGCAUAAUUUGAUAACUGCAGUUACAAGAGGAUGACUCCUCACAUCAGCACGGCUCCUGGCCUCUCUGGACUUGAUGUGGGUACAACAGUGGUCAGCCAUGGUCUGUGUGCAUCCUUCAGGCUGAGCCCAGGAUACAGCUCUACACCCCUCUCUGCUCCCCAGCCACAGUCUCCCCUCACCAGGGGGUUCCAGCCUUCCUCUGGCCUCAUGCAUGUGCACCAUCACUUGGUAAUGCUGAAGAUGCCCCAUCUCUGGAUGCAUUCAAGGCUGGAUGUGGCUCUAGGCAGCCUGGUCGGGUGGUUGGCGACCCUGCACAUAGCAGGAGGGUUGAAACUGGAUGAUCACUGUAGUCCUUUUCAACUCAGGCCAUCCUAUGAUUCUAUGAUUUUGGCUGGAGAAAGUGUGCUGGUUCCAGAGCAAUUACACUGAAGUUUGUAUAGAAAUGUGGGAAAGUUCUCUCUUUGUCAGAGUUUUUGACAAAUAAACUUACUUCAAUGCCCACUUUUAGUUUUUUUGGGUUUUGAUUCCAUUUGUUUCAGGCAGCAAUUAAGAAAGUAAGAUUUGAUUCUUUAUUCAAGCGUGUAACCUACCCCUGCAGUGAGAGCUCUGCGCUGGGCUAGGAAGAGAGCAGAGAUUUCUACUGGUAGGUGAAGUUCUCACUCAUCCCCAGGAAUGCAGAAAUGAUCCUGAGAAGGAAGGACCAAAUCCUUAGUUCCCUGGGGAAUGCUGCAGCUCCCUGCUCUUAGGGUUUUGCUCCUGCAUUUGAGUUCUUUUUUCCUACCCAGCGGCACUGCUCCAGCUCCUUGAUUGGUGUGAAAGAUGGCAAGAAGGAUAAAUGCUGGUUGCAAGAUCUCUGAUGUGUUCCACAGAUCCAUAUGGCUGUCCAUACCUCGAGCUGUGGUGAAAAGGGUUGUCGGUACUGUUCUGUGAGGAGCUCAGGUUGGUUUGUGCCUGUUCAUUUGGAAAUAAAUAUGCAGUGGGCUGAGUUCAGAUGGGCAGAAAAAGGACUGUGGGUCAAAGGGGACCAGAGGGUGUGAAAUGUCAGCAUAUGGGAUGCAAGGUGUGCCAAAGGCUAGGGUGUGAAUCACUUUGGAUUUUCAGAUUUGUAUCAGCAUUGUGCCAGACUUCCAGCAUUUAUAUUAGUCACCUACAAUCUGCUGAAAUCCCGUAUUUGGUGUCUUUAAAAAGAUGUAUGUCUUUAUUUGCUCUGUAUUUGGCUUGUGAUCUUUAAGAGCUGCAGUUACUGGAUGCUAAGAGGUGGCCCUGUUCACAGCCUCAUGCUGCCUUGAUUGAAACGCUGAGGUCAAAGGCCAGCAGGAGCCAAAGGUCUCUGCAAGCUAACCAUAUGCACAGGCUCGCCAAGCUCUUCUCCCUCUGUGUCAUGAAGACAAAUGGCAUUUUUAAGAAUUCUCCCAAUGAACUAGCAUUCAUUUUCUGGUGUCUCUUCCUUCUUUAUUGCUUCCUAAUGAGCUUCAUUCCCAUCACCUCUAGCCUCCUGCUCUUGAGUCUGCAUUUACACUGAUGCACAGAAGAGCAGCAAAUUGAACAAAUUAAUUAAUUAAGCUGGCCCGUCUAAUGAAAGGCACCCUGAUGACUCCUGGGUUUUCCCCUCUUGCUUUUUAAAGAAAUCUACUCUAUAUCUUUAAUGGCCACAGUUGCUGGGCUUUUUCUGUCCAUAGGCUCUGCAAGAACACCAAAUUCUUUUUCUGUGGUGUUUGGGGUUUAACUGAGAACAUUUCUCUCUCUGUGUACAUCUUUACACAUACACACAUGUAUAAAUGUGCACACAGGUAUAUUUUUAUUCUUUAUUUCUGUAUUUAUGGCCCCUACUUUACUUGCUUGUUUAUUAUUUUAGCAGUGGAAUUUUCAUGAAAGUACUAUUCAGGAGCUAUUUGGAGUGACAGCUAUAACUAAAGAGGGAAUCCGUGCUGUUACAGCCCACAGAGCUUCCUCUCUGCCUGGUCUGGCUGGGCUCUAUUUGUGCUCCCGUUCGACCCAUACUGCUUUGUUUGCAGUCUGCACUCCCUGGGCCAGACCAGCUGAUUCAAAACCAAGCGUUACCUACACAUCCCCUUAUUUCCACUUAUUUCAAUGCAGUGUUGCUAAGCAGAAGAUCUGGCCCCAUGCAUUUGUGCUCCUCAUUACCAGAGCUUUAUGCUUUACCUCAGGUGAGGAU
rnacentral:lncRNA from 1 species